UACGUAGGGUGCAAGCGUUAAUCGGAAUUACUGGGCGUAAAGCGUGCGCAGGCGGUUUUGUAAGACUGUCGUGAAAUCCCCGGGCUUAACCUGGGAAUGGCGAUGGUGACUGCAAGGCUAGAGUUUGGCAGAGGGGGGUAGAAUUCCACGUGUAGCAGUGAAAUGCGCAGAUAUGUGGAGGAACACCGAUGGCGAAGGCAGCCCCCUGGGUCAAAACUGACGCUCACGCACGAAAGCGUGGGGAGCAAACAGG
rnacentral:rRNA from 1 species